AAGUAAAAGUCGUAACAAGGUCUCCGUUGGUGAACCAGCGGAGGGAUCAUUACCGAGUUAUACAACUCAUCAACCCUGUGAACAUACCUAAAACGUUGCUUCGGCGGGAACAGACGGCCCUGUAACAACGGGCCGCCCCCGCCAGAGGACCCCUAACUCUGUUUUUAUAAUGUUUUUCUGAGUAAACAAGCAAAUAAAUUAAAACUUUCAACAACGGAUCUCUUGGCUCUGGCAUCGAUGAAGAACGCAGCGAAAUGCGAUAAGUAAUGUGAAUUGCAGAAUUCAGUGAAUCAUCGAAUCUUUGAACGCACAUUGCGCCCGCCAGUAUUCUGGCGGGCAUGCCUGUUCGAGCGUCAUUACAACCCUCAGGCCCCCGGGCCUGGCGUUGGGGAUCGGCAGAAGCCCCCUGUGGGCACACGCCGUCCCUCAAAUACAGUGGCGGUCCCGCCGCAGCUUCCAUUGCGUAGUAGCUAACACCUCGCAACUGGAGAGCGGCGCGGCCAUGCCGUAAAACACCCAACUUCUGAAUGUUGACCUCGAAUCAGGUAGGAAUACCCGCUGAACUUAAGCAUA
rnacentral:rRNA from 1 species